rnacentral:lncRNA from 1 species
UAAUUUUAAUUCGCAUAUUUCGUAAAUUUAACCAUAAAAUAUGUGUUACCAUCAUCAUUGCAUUUUAAUAAUUAUCAGAGGUAAUUCAAGUUGAUUUAAUUAUUUAAUGGUUGAGUCUAAUGGAUGCAGGUCAAGUCGAAUUGAUUUAGGAUGAUCUCUGAACCCAAAUCACAUGCACCCCGCAAAUCAAGACCCUCUGAUUCAGUCACCUAAUUUUCUUUCCACUCGUUCCAACUCUUUCUCCACAUGAUCCAAUUUUAAUCUCAAAAACAUAAAAUCCCUUCAAUUAUUUGUCUCCCAGAUCUCAAAGCAUCCCAUCUUAAUUGCACGGAUCCCAAAACCUCAUCCCAUCUCAGCCAUUCAUCUUGCAUCCAAGUUACCACGGGUCAUUUCCUCCCAACAGCUUAUCUCUCCUUCAACUUCUUCCACAUACACCCAAGCCAGUCUUCCCGAGCAUCACGGGAGAGCUCUUUCUCCUUAUCCCCUGCUCCCAGCGAACCUUCCCAGAUUUCCCUCGCGCCCGUGUUCACCUUCCACGUCCACAAACCAAGCCAACAGCCGCUUGUAUUCAGCCUCAUCCACGUAUUCACCCCAUAUCCUAGCUCCGAACCAGUCAGUGUUCCGGAUUGAGCUUAUCCACAACCGCAAAUCAAAGAUUCAUCCUCUUCCCCUGUUUCGGAACAGAGACGGGAUCUUCUGCAUCCUAGGAUCAAUCGGGAUUCCUCCCAACAUUUCCUGCUUUCCACGAUGCACUCCACGCGUCUCAAGGAUUUUUCCGCCCCAGCUCCAACCUCUCUCGCAUCCGGAUAUCUCGUGUCCAGCCGGGAUGAGCAUCACGAACGGAUCUCAGCCUUUCAGCCGAAGCAUUUCAGUUCAUCCAACAGCCCGCACGCGUUUUAGCAUCAUCCGAACCUGCAGCUGAGAUUUCCAAACGUCCGAGCUUCCCGGAUCGUAGCCCAGCGAAUCCCUGCAUUCCGCCAACGGCAAAAGU